rnacentral:miRNA from 1 species
CACCUCAUCAACCAGAAGGGAUUCCUUCCGGUUGAUGAGGUUGUUACACCUCAUCAACCAGAGGUUGUUACACCUCAUCACCGGAGGUUGUUACACCUCAUCAACCGGAAGGAAUCCCUUCCGGUUGAUGAGGUU